UAUGUAGAGGUCUCAAGAAAGAGAAAAGAACUCGUGGUUCAAGCAGCAAGAAGAUAGCCAGCCUAAAUGAAUCAAAACAAGAACAAGCGUCGGGAAUUUACAAAUGAGGAAGUGCAGCUGGUGAUGUAAUUACUUUCAAUAGCGCUUCAACUCUGCAAUCGACAGUUUGACCUCAUGCUAGGGCAGCCUCAGCCAGUUGCCUCUUCUAUCAAAGGGUCCCUCAGCUACUUAUGCUUUGCUAGACAAUGAGGGUAUGUAGAUAGCAUGUAUGGUUUUUACAUUGUUUUGUGCAGGUUGAGAUGCAUCACAUGAUGUUUUCCUUUUACAUUUAUGGGUAUUACAGAACCCUUUCUUUUUCCACAAGGGGUAGUAGCUGUGCCAUUCGAUUCGGAGGACAAAGAGUUGAUCACAAAGGGGUAGCAUUCAGGAUAUAUACACAAAAGAGUAUAGAACCAAAUUACAUGAUGUAAUUGACCACUAUUUCUAUUAACUUCUCCUGUAGACAAUGUUCACAAGUUCAUGUAUUAAGUACAUUUUAUUGUGUCACUUGUGUUUACUCCUUUUUAAUGCAAGUUUACUGCUACUCGGAGUUCCUAA